CGGGGUGAGUAAUGUAUGGGGAUCUGCCUGAUGGCGGGGGAUAACUACUGGAAACGGUAGCUAAUACCGCAUAAUGUCUACGGACCAAAGCGGGGGACCUUCGGGCCUCGCGCCAUCAGAUGAACCCAUAUGGGAUUAGCUUGUAGGUGAGGUAACGGCUUACCUAGGCGACGAUCCCUAGCUGGUCUGAGAGGAUGAUCAGCCACACUGGGACUGAGACACGGCCCAG
rnacentral:rRNA from 1 species